UAUAUAUUAUUAAAAAAAAAGUUUUAAGUUUGGUUUCGGCCCAAACAUUGGAAUUUUUUUUAUUCCAACUUUUGG
rnacentral:tRNA from 1 species